GAAGACGCUAUGAGUACUCUAAACCUUUAACAAUGGUGGUGCGUCGUGAGCUCGGUCCGAUAGAACGUGACGAUGAGGUGUUUGUUGAGGUUUCCAAGUUUCAUUAGGUCGAUUGCAACAUAGGAGUUGAUUUUGCUUCGAUUCAAGCUAAAAUAUUUCAUCUGACCAUAAGCUGGACUUUAAUGCCUACAAGGUGUUCGACAAAAUGCUUCUGGGGAGAAGAAGGAAGCAACAACGUAAGCAGAGAAAUCGCCUUAAGGCAUGACCGUUUUAGCUGUUUCUCACGUUGGAUCCAAUUGGACUAAGGAACCGAUUUUUAAGUAUUAGAAGAGACCGAGUGGCUGCGAUUAUAGGACAAUCACUAUCUGAAACUCUGCAACUCACCAUUGAGUUCUUACCCUGUCAGUUUCCUUACGAGUUCUUGAACAGCAGGAAUACGUGUGGAUCCACCAACAAGAAUCACCUCAUCAAUAUCCAAGAGUGCUUCAGGUGCUGCAGUUCAGGCUGGUGUUCUAUCCGGAGAUGUGAGGGACAUUGUUCUUCUUGAUGUGGCGCCACUGUCACUUGGUUUGGAAACUUUUGGUGGUGUCAUGACCAAGAUCAUUCCAAGAAACACCACACUUCCAACUUCUAAAUCAGAAGUCUUCUCAACUGCCGCAGAUGGACAGACAAGUGUUGAUAUUAAUGUGUUACAGGGUGAGAGAGAGAGUUCGUAAGAGAUAACAAGUCUAUUGGCAGCUUCCGUCUUGAUGGUAUCCCGCCUGCACCACGUGGAGUUCCACAAAUCGAGGUCAAAUUUGAUAUUGAUGCCAAUGGAAUUCUAUCUGUCAGUGCUUCCGACAAAGGCACAGGAAAGAAGCAGGACAUCACCAUUACUGGUGCUAGUACCUUGCCAAAGGAUGAGGUAGACACAAUGGUGCAAGAAGCAGAUAGGUUUGCCAAGGAAGACAAAGAAAAGAGAGAUGCGAUCGACACAAAGAACCAGGAAGGAUAAUUUGAUUUGUGGGCAGCAAAUGAAUGCUCUGCACACAUCAG